rnacentral:lncRNA from 1 species
GGCUUGUAUUCGUAUGUAGACAUUCGUCUAUCUGUAAAGAGGGUUUUGCGACUGUUACUUUGAUGCCAUUUAAACAAUGAUGUACAGAAUAGAAACCAAACGUUGUCUACCACUACCAGUUUCAGAUAUAACACGACUUAAAAAUUUUAGAAUAAUGAAAAAAUUGAUAUUACAUUACAUGUAUUUCUUAAUACUUAAAAUUUGGUCCAGUACUGAGCGAAAUUUGUCCUAUCUGACUCUUUCAUACUUUUUUUUUCAUGAGUUCAAUUUGUUAACGAAUUAUCCUUAUUUAUCAGCAGUAAGCUAAACUAGUAGUUGAUUAUCUUUCCAAACUGUAAUGAAACGGUAAGGAAUAUUUUUCUUGGCACUGUCAUUAACUUCGUAUGUCUUAGCGCAUGCUCUAAAAUUAACUUCGUAUGUCUUAGCGCAUGCUCUGAAAUUAACGUCGUCUGAGUACAACUUAACAUCCCAGUCAACAAAUGAUUGUGUAGAUUUAAGGUAUAUUCAUCUCUAGCAUACAUGUAUAUUAUACGCUUGGCCACACACUGUUAAAAUUCCGUUAUCGUCAUCUUAUACAAGAAUAUCACCCCUGCCCUAUGCAAGCCUUUUCUCCGAACAAAGCCGAAAAAGCUGAUUAGCGUACGUGUGGAGAAACCGAUAAACUUCCGAUUAACGAAAGUAUUUUGCAGCAAAACAAAACAAAAAUAAACUUAAAACUCGGAGCAAUAUUCUGAAUAUUUCAAAAGAUGCAUACAAAACACAUCAUUUCAAAGUAAAACACCAUUCAGG